rnacentral:rRNA from 1 species
UACGAAGGGGGCUAGCGUUGUUCGGAAUUACUGGGCGUAAAGCGCGCGCAGGCGGUCUUCCAAGUCAGUGGUGAAAGCCCGGAGCUCAACUCCGGAACUGCCACUGAAACUGUAAGACUUGAGGAUGAGAGAGGUGAGUGGAAUUCCCAGUGUAGAGGUGAAAUUCGUAGAUAUUGGGAAGAACACCGGUGGCGAAGGCGGCUCACUGGCUCAUAUCUGACGCUCAGGCGCGACAGCGUGGGGAUCAAACAGG